rnacentral:rRNA from 1 species
UACGAAGGGGGCUAGCGUUGCUCGGAAUCACUGGGCGUAAAGCGCACGUAGGCGGCUUCUUAAGUCAGGGGUGAAAUCCUGGAGCUCAACUCCAGAACUGCCUUCGAUACUGGAAGACUCGAGUCCGGGAGAGGUGAGUGGAACUGCGAGUGUAGAGGUGAAAUUCGUAGAUAUUCGCAAGAACACCAGUGGCGAAGGCGGCUCACUGGCCCGGUACUGACGCUGAGGUGCGAAAGCGUGGGGAGCAAACAGG